rnacentral:rRNA from 1 species
UACACACCGCCCGUCACACCAUGGGAGUUGGUUUUACCUGAAGACGGUGCGCUAACCGCAGGAGGCAGCCGGCCACGGUAGGAUCAGCGACUGGGGUGAAGUCGUAACAAGGUACCC